rnacentral:rRNA from 1 species
ACCCAAUAGAUACCCUGGUAGUCCUGGCCCUAAACGAUGAAUGCUUGGUGUGGUGGGUAUCGAUCCCUACCGUGCCGAAAGCUAAACGCAUUAAGCAUUCCGCCUGGGGAGUACGGUCGCAAGGCUGAAACUCAAAGGAAGUUGACGGGGGCCCGCACAAGCGGUGGAGCAUGUGGUUUAAUUCGACGCAACGCGAAGAACCUUACCCAGGCUCGAACGGUAGCUGACAUCCUACGAAAGUAGGCUCCCGCAAGGGCAGCUAUCGAGGUGCUGCAUGGCUGUCGUCAGCUCGUGUCGUGAGAUGUUGGGUUAAGUCCCGCAACGAGCGCAACCCUUGUCUUCUGUUGCCAUCAGGUCAAGCUGGGC